AUUGAACGCUGGCGGCAUGCUUUACACAUGCAAGUCGAACGAGUGGCGAACGGGUGAGUAAUACAUCGGAACGUGUCCUUAAGUGGGGAAUAACGCAUCGAAAGAUGUGCUAAUACCGCAUACUAAAGGAGCGGCCGAUUGCUGAUUAGCUAGUUGGUGGGGUAAAGGCCUACCAAGGCAACGAUCAGUAGCUGGUCUGAGAGGACGAUCAGCCACACUGGGACUGAGACACGGCCCAGACGCCUACGGGAGGCAGCAGUGGGGAAUUUUGGACAAUGGGCGAAAGCCUGAUCAAGCCAUGCCGCGUGAGUGAAGAAGGCCUUCGGGUUGUAAAGCUCUUUUAGUUGGAAAGCGGUACCAACAGAAAAAGCACCGGCUAACUACGUGCCAGCAGCCGCGGUAAUUC
rnacentral:rRNA from 1 species